rnacentral:rRNA from 1 species
GAUGAACGCUGGCGGCAUGGAUAAGGCAUGCAAGUCGAAUGCUUCGCAAGAGGCAUGGCAGACGAGGUAGUAACGCGUAGGUACGCACCCCGAAGUCGGGCAUAACCAGUCGAAAGAUUGGAUAAUUCCCGAUAGUCCGAGCAUUAAUUUUUAGAGAUAACAAAGAAUUAUUUUUGUCUUUAGAAAUUAGUGCUCGGUAAAGAUUUAUUGCUUCGGGAGCGGCCUGCGUAGAUCAGCUAGUUGGUAGGGUAACGGCCUACCAAGGCGACGACGCUUAGGGGAGGUGAGAGCCUGACCCCCACCGAUGGGACUGCGACACGGCCCAUACACCUACGGGUGGCUGCAGCCGAGAAUAUUCGACAAUGGGCGAAAGCCUGAUCGAGCGAUGCCGCGUGACGGAUGAA